CCUGCCCACACGACCGUACCGCAAACCGACACUGGUGCGCGAGAUGAGUAUUCUAAGGCGCUUGAGAGAACUCAGGAGAAGGAACUCGGCAAAUUGACACCGUAACUUCGGAAGAAGGUGUGCCUUUAGUAGGUGAAGGGAUUUACUCCUGGAGCCCAAUGAGGUUGCAAAAAAUCGGUGGCUGCGACUGUUUAUUAAAAACACAGCACUCUGCAAACACGAAAGUGGACGUAUAGGGUGUGACGCCUGCCCGGUGCUGGAAGAUUAAAUGAUGGGGUGCAAGCUCUUGAUUGAAGUCCCAGUAAACGGCGGCCGUAACUAUAACGGUCCUAAGGUAGCGAAAUUCCUUGUCGGGUAAGUUCCGACCUGCACGAAUGGCGUAACGAUGGCCACACUGUCUCCUCCUGAGACUCAGCGAAGUUGAAAUGUUUGUGAUGAUGCAAUCUCCCCGCGGAAAGACGGAAAGACCCCAUGAACCUUUACUGUAGCUUUGUAUUGGACUUUGAACAGAUCUGUGUAGGAUAGGUGGGAGGCUUUGAAGCAGGGUCGCUAGAUCUUGUGGAGCCAACGUUGAAAUACCACCCUGGUGUGUUUGAGGUUCUAACCUAGGCCCGUAAUCCGGGUUGGGGACAGUGCAUGGUAGGCAGUUUGACUGGGGCGGUCUCCUCCCAAAGUGUAACGGAGGAGUUCGAAGGUACGCUAGUUACGGUCGGACAUCGUGACGAUAGUGCAAUGGCAUAAGCGUGCUUAACUGCGAGACUGACAAGUCGAGCAGAUGCGAAAGCAGGACAUAGUGAUCCGGUGGUUCUGUAUGGAAGGGCCAUCGCUCAACGGAUAAAAGGUACUCUGGGAUAACAGGCCGAUACCGCCCAAGAGUUCAUAUCGACGGCGGUGUUUGGCACCUCGAUGUCGGCUCAUCUCAUCCUGGGGCUGUAGCCGGUCCCAAGGGUAUGGCUGUUCGCCAUUUAAAGAGGUACGUGAGCUGGGUUUAAAACGUCGUGAGACAGUUUGGUCCCUAUCUUCCGUGGGCGCUGCAGAUUUGAGGAAGCCUGCUCCUAGUACGAGAGGACCGGAGUGGACGCACCUCUGGUGUAUCGGUUGUCACGCCAGUGGCAUUGCCGAGUAGCUAUGUGCGGAAGAGAUAACCGCUGAAAGCAUCUAAGCGGGAAACUCGUUUCAAGAUGAGAUCUGCCGGGGCCUUGAGCCCCCUGAAGAGUCGUUCAAGACCAGGACGUUGAUAGGUCGGGUGUGGAAGCGCAGUAAUGCGUUAAGCUAACCGAUACUAAUUGCUCGUGCGGCUUGACCCU
rnacentral:rRNA from 1 species